rnacentral:rRNA from 1 species
CACGUAGGGGGCGAGCGUUGUCCGGAAUUACUGGGCGUAAAGGGUGCGUAGGCGGUCUGUUAAGUCAGAUGUGAAAGACCUGGGCUCAACCCGGGAUGUGCAUCUGAGACUGGCGGACUUGAGUGCAGGAGAGGGAAGUGGAAUUUCUAGUGUAGCGGUGGAAUGCGUAGAUAUUAGGAAGAACACCAGUGGCGAAGGCGGCUUCCUGGACUGUAACUGACGCUGAGGCACGAAAGCGUGGGGAGCGAACAGG